rnacentral:rRNA from 1 species
UACGAAGGGGGCUAGCGUUGCUCGGAAUUACUGGGCGUAAAGCGCACGUAGGCGGCUUUCUAAGUCGGGGGUGAAAUCCCUCGGCUCAACCGAGGAACUGCAUCCGAUACUGGCGGGCUUGAAUCCGGGAGAGGGAUGUGGAAUUCCAGGUGUAGCGGUGAAAUGCGCAGAUAUCAGGAGGAACACCGGUGGCGAAGGCGGGUCUCUGGGCAGUAACUGACGCUGAGGAGCGAAAGCGUGGGGAGCGAACAGG